rnacentral:rRNA from 1 species
GCCUACGGGGCGCAGCAGUAGGGAAUCUUCCACAAUGGGCGAAAGCCUGAUGGAGCAACGCCGCGUGGGUGAAGAAGGUCUUCGGAUCGUAAAACCCUGUUGUUAGAGAAAAAAGUGCGUGAGAGUAACUGUUCACGUUUCGACGGUAUCUAACCAGAAAGCCACGGCUAACUACGUGCCAGCAGCCGCCGUAAUACGUAGGUGGCAAGCGUUAUCCGGAUUUAUUGGGCGUAAAGGGAACGCAGGCGGUCUUUUAAGUCUGAUGUGAAAGCCUUCGGCUUAACCGGAGUAGUGCAUUGGAAACU